GGCUGGAUGUGCCCGGCUCGGCGCUCCCAAGUCCAAGCCCCGGUCCUUGCCCGCACCCCGGCCCACCCCGCCUCCAUCCUGGCUGCUCCUGGCUCCCAGCUUGGCAGCCUCUCUCAAAGGGUGAUUGUUUCCGGGCCGGGCUGUUGGGGGGCGGGUCUCUGGGACCGGGAGGCAGAGUUGGAAAGCAGGGAGGGUGCGGGCCCCUCGCCGGCUGCAGGCGCCCUUGAGUGGAAGGAGGCCAAGGGGGCCGCGGUAUCUUGUCAGGAUAGGGGGCUGCCUGUGUGGGGCAGAGGUGGUGCCGACCAAGAGGCCGCCCCAUCUGUAGAAACUGCUCCACUUUCGAAGUGCGGGUCAAGCUGCAAGUGUCAGCGUCCUGUCCCCCUUGCCACCAGGACAAUGCACGCUGGCUAUGCGGAAGAGGGGGCUGAGGCCCUGGCGUGGUGGGUCAUCCGCGGUUUCCCAGGCUGCUGUGGGUCCUCAGAAUGUGGACAUCUAUUGGAGGGCUGAUAGAAUUUACCUCAGACGAAGCUUCUGCUGUGAGCCACAGGACCUGGUGAAUUCCAGAAGAGAAGAUCCGCCAGGUGACCCAAGUCUUAAAGGAGGUCAAGGCUCCAUGGGAACUGGUGUGGGGAAGGCAUCCUGUGCACAGGGCACUGCAGAUGUCAGAUGCACAGCCAUGAGGGGCAUGCUGCCCCCACCGAAUCUGUUUCUGAGAGUGAGAGGGUAAGACAGUGCCUCUGCAGCCCCAGAUGCCAUUUUCAUGGAAAAUAGCAUUGCUGUGAAAGAAAAUCACCCUAAAAGAGUCCCUUGGUUGCAGCCCAGAGGCAGCUGCCCAGCUGUGCAGGCAAGGCCAAGCCAGGAAAACAUUCCUCCCUGGCUGCCCAGGGAUGGAGAGCACCCUGGGGGAAGGUUAACACAGGGCAUCAUCAUUAGCAUUGGCAGACAGAAGCCUUCUCCCCGGACCCAGGCUACUGCCUGAUCUGCUCUAAUGCUGGGAACUGGGCU
rnacentral:lncRNA from 1 species